CUUCUAGACAGCCUCUGCAGCA
rnacentral:miRNA from 1 species